rnacentral:rRNA from 1 species
UACGAGGGGUGCAAGCGUUGCUCGGAAUUAUUGGGCGUAAAGAGCUCGUAGGCGGCCUGUUGCGUCCGCUGUGAAAUCCCAGGGCUCAACCCUGGGCGUGCAGUGGAUACGGGCAGGCUGGAGGCAGGUAGGGGAGACUGGAAUUCCUGGUGUAGCGGUGAAAUGCGCAGAUAUCAGGAGGAACACCGGUGGCGAAGGCGGGUCUCUGGGCCGAUACUGACGCUGAGGAGCGAAAGCGUGGGGAGCAAACGGG